UAUUGCACAAUGGGCGCAAGCCUGAUGCAUCCAUGCCGCGUGUGUGAAGAAGGCCUUCGGGUUGUAAAGCACUUUCAGUCAGGAGGAAAGGUUAGUAGUUAAUACCUGCUAGCUGUGACGUUACUGACAGAAGAAGCACCGGCUAACUCCGUGCCAGCAGCCGCGGUAAUACGGAGGGUGCGAGCGUUAAUCGGAAUUACUGGGCGUAAAGCGUACGCAGGCGGUUUGUUAAGCGAGAUGUGAAAGCCCCGGGCUCAACCUGGGAACUGCAUUUCGAACUGGCAAACUAGAGUGUGAUAGAGGGUGGUAGAAUUUCAGGUGUAGCGGUGAAAUGCGUAGAGAUUUGAAGGAAUACCGAUGGCGAAGGCAGCCACCUGGGUCAACACUGACGCUCAGACGAAG
rnacentral:rRNA from 1 species